AGUAAUGUGUGGUUCUCCCUGUCUGUAUGACCCUAUAGUAGUGUGUGGUUCUCUGUCUGUUUGACCCUAUAGUAGUGUGUUGUUCUCCCUGUCUGUAUGACCCAAUAGUAGUGUGUGGUUCUCCCUGUCUGUAUGACCCUAUAGUAGUGUGUGGUUCUCCCUGUCUGUUUGACCCUAUAGUAGUGUGUGGUUCUCCCUGUCUGUAUGACCCUAUAGUAGUGUGUGGUUCUCUCUGUCUGUUUGACCCUAUAGUAGUGUGUGGUUCUCCCUGUCUGUAUGACCCUAUAGUAAUGUGUGGUUCUCCCUGUCUGUAUGACCCUAUAGUAGUGUGUGGUUCUCCCUGUCUGUAUGACCCUAUAGUAGUGUGUGGUUCUCCCUGUCUGUAUGACCCUAUAGUAAUGUGUGGUUCUCCCUGUCUGUAUGACCCUAUAGUAGUGUGUGGUUCUCCCUGUCUGUAUGACCCUAUAGUAAUGUGUUGUUCUCCCUGUCUGUAUGACCCUAUAGUAAUGUGUGGUUCUCCCUGUCUGUAUGACCCAAUAGUAGUGUGUGGUUCUCCAUGUCUGUAUGACCCUAUAGUAGUGUGUGGUUCUCCCUGUCUGUAUGACCCUAUAGUAGUGUGUGGUUCUCCCUGUCUGUAUGACCCUAUAGUAAUGUGUGGUUCUCCCUGUCUGUAUGACCCUAUAGUAAUGUGUGGUUCUCCCUGUCUGUAUGACCCUAUAGUAGUGUGUGGUUCUCCCUGUCUGUAUGACCCUAUAGUAGUGUGUGGUUCUCCCUGUCUGUAUGACCCUAUAGUAGUGUGUGGUUCUCUCUGUCUGUAUGACCCUAUAGUAAUGUGUGGUUCUCCCUGUCUGUAUGACCCUAUAGUAGUGUGUGGUUCUCCCUGUCUGUUUUACCCCUAUAGUAGUGUGUGGUUCUCUAUAAGUAGAGGCUCCUCAGAGAAGGAAGGGGAGGACCAUCCUUCUCAGUGAAAUUUCAUUAAAAUAAAAAUAGUGAAACACUAAAAAGGAUAGCUUUUGUCCUCUGUGUAUAUUGACUUCAACACAAAACCUAGGAGGCACGUAGGCCUCACCCCCUUCCAUAGACCUGCAUGGUAAUUUUGACCACUUCCAGAAGACGACCUCCAACCAAUCAGCAUUGAUACGUAUGAACUGACAUGUUGUCAUCCAAUCAUAGGAUUAGGAUCAGAUGAAACGAGUGUUGUAUUGGGGUUGUGCCGCAAAGCAUUAGGGUGGGAAUCUAUGUGUUGAGGAGCUUGGUGACAUUAUUGGAUAGAGAUUGAAAAGUCAUAGUUGAGCAAUUUUACGAUAUUUUUCAAUUCAAAUUAGUUUCUUCAAAUUACAGGAGACGGAGGAGGUAGAUUAUAAGUAGUUUUCUUGGUUUUAGAACAUAAUUCGUGUGUCCAGUUAGUGCAAUUUAUUUCAAUUUGCCUUGCUAACUUCAGUAGCAAAUAGUAGUAGCUAGCUACCAGCUCCAGUUUUCGCCAAAAACGCCACCGCAAAUUUUGUUAACUUUUUGAUGAAGAAUCCCUUUUAAUUCACUGUGGUACGCGGAAAAUGUGCUAAUUAAAACCGAGGGUCGACCUCUGCCUGAGAUUAGUUUCACGAAGAAGGGUGAAAAGGUGAGGGUGUUCAAUACCGACUGGUAUCAAAAGUAGAGCUGGAUAACAGGGCCUUUCAUUAAGCCACCUGUAUUUCUGGCCUUGCCUGCUUUUUGUAAAGUCUGAGCCUUGGCCGAAAGGUGGGUACAGUGACCUGAAGAACAUCGAUCGUUAAGAUAAACGGCAAAAUAAAAAGCAGGGAGCAUAUAAAUGUCCACAUCAGAUUCAAGCUUCUGUGAAAAAGCCGCAUCGAUCAUGGUGGAAGUCUUGAUAUUCAAACUGCGCAACAACGAGAAAGUAAGAAGAAACAGGGAUGUUCUCAAGGGGCUUAUCAACACCACUGCGUUUUCGCCAUGCAAUAAUGGGCUUUUAGAGGACACGACGAGAGGGAAAGUUCCGCUAACAAGUGCAACACAAGGAACUUGCAGCGGUAAUUGCACGUUACGAUGCUUGACUUGCAGAACAUAUGGAACUUUAUACUUUUUUUCUUGGAUGUUCUGAAUGAUUUGAUAGCUUCCAUCGCGUCAUUCAUUAAAAGUUGGAUGAAAGAGAGUUUGACGCGGAACAUGUUUUAUUUCGCGCGCGCUUAAGUAGGGUUUCCACUUUGCUCCGGUAUUUAUUUAGCAAAGAUAACAUAAUCACUCCAGACAAACACAAGCAAAAACUCAUGACAUAAAUGUUGCAGCAGCCUAGGCUAUACCUAAACAUUAGAGAUCUGACAUGCUGUAUGGGAUGAAAACGAGACAAUCUUUCAGUCUGAUUAACUGUAGGUUACUAAUAAUAGGUGCUGCAUACAGCCUAAGCACCCAGUUCAUCUGGUCAAGGUAAAUAAUUGGUCAUGUUAUGUAUUUAUAGUCCAUUUGUGUGUCAGGAGAAAAUGUGAAUGUGAUCAAAUUUGGUUUAUAUUCAACAUUGGGCUGGCUAGGCUGCCUAAACGUUUCCAACCCAAAAUGAUUAACUGGAAUGAAUCUAUCAACAUAAUAGUGAUGACAGAUGUCAGUCAUUUGUUAUAAGGCCUACAGCUGCAUAGGCCUGCAUAACGCAAACAUGCAUGAAGCAAGCUCAGCCCUGUGAGUUCUGUCUAUCAGUUGUCUGGGUCUGGGUAGAGGAAAUCCCCCUCCUAAUCUAGUCUAAAUAUAAUUCAUAUGAACAAGUAUAAGGUUGCUACAGUUUGACAGUUUUUAAAAUAACCAUGUGACCUGAUUAGGAAAAACUGGUCACAUCAUAGCCCUUAUAAAACCUUUUUACGACUGAAUAAUCACUGUCAUACCUUUAUAGGGUCCAGAGUUUUCCUGGUUAGGUUAACAGAUAAGGAAAAACUAUUGAGUCCCAGAGGGUAAAUUGAAUGUUUCCUCUCCAAGCACUUCAAAUCCUGUCCUGCAAUGAAGUCAAGCCUCUGAACACCUCAACUCAUGCCUCGAACCCUCAUUCAAUCACUGCUGUGAUCCCUUUCCAACACUAUUGCCAUAACAGGGCCGGCUGUGGAUUCCUGUGUGUUGUGACCAAGAGAACAGAUGCCUUGGGUUCAGUGAAAACAAUUACAAGGUUGCUUACUGUACACACACACACACCAGGCUGAGCCCACUGCAGAGGGGACAAGGCCUGCUCCCAGUGUUGUGUGUUUUCAGUUCCACUCCAGACUAAUUCCUCCACAUAGAAACAGGGAUGUGUGUUUUCAGUCCCACUCCAGACUAAUUCCUCCACAUAGAAACAGGGAUGUGUGUUUUCAGUCCCACUCCAGACUAAUUCCUCCACAUAGAAACAGGGAUGUGUUUUCAGUCCCACUCCAGACUAAUUCCUCCACAUAGAAACAGUGUUGUGUGUUUUCAGUUCCACUCCAGACUAAUUCCUCCACAUAGAAACAGGGAUGUGUGUUUUCAGUCCCACUCCAGACUAAUUCCUCCACAUAGAAACAGGGAUGUGUGUUUUCAGUUCCACUCCAGACUAAUUCCUCCACAUAGAAACACAGGGAUGUGUUUUCAGUCCCACUCCAGACUAAUUCCUCCACAUAGAAACAGGGAUGUGUUUUCAGUCCCACUCCAGACUAAUUCCUCCACAUAGAAACACAGGGAUGUGUUUUCAGUCCCACUCCAGACUAAUUCCUCCACAUAGAAACACAGGGAUGUGUUUUCAGUCCCACUCCAGACUAAUUCCUCCACAUAGAAACAGGGAUGUGUUUUCAGUCCCACUCCAGACUAAUUCCUCCACAUAGAAACAGGGAUGUGUGUUUUCAGUCCCACUCCAGACUAAUUCCUCCACAUAGAAACAGGGAUGUGUGUUUUCAGUCCCACUCCAGACUAAUUCCUCCACAUGGAAACAGGGAUGUGUGCCUGUGUGUCUCUGUGCUUGAUGAGGUCACCCAGCAGACAGAGCCAGAGGGAAACUGAACAGGCAAACAUGACUGAACAGGACAGGAGGGAGGACCACUCUUUUCCGUCCCAAAUGGCACCCUAUUCCCUUUAUAGUUCGCUAAUUUUGAACAAUGCCCACACAUACACAUGCAUGCAUACACACACACACACGCACACACACUCUCCAGUGAAAAUUACUAUUUUUAAAACACUAUCCACUACUGGGGAUGUAGGGUGUGAGUGUAUGUGUUGAACAGAUGUUUUUAUACACUGUGCUGAUUUCCUCAACAAGUUGCAGCAUUGCCCUGUACUGCCCCGGGACAGCAAGCACCCCUGCCUCCACGCAAAACAACUAGCAGGUACAAAGAAUGUACAAAUCAGAAUGGGUGGAACACACGUUCCUUUUCAAAACAAUGGUAUGUACAUGUCACCUCAAAGCAAUAUCACGUUGCAAUGUCACAACAAAUCACCGUUAUAUGAUAGAAGCAUGGCUUGUGAGAAGGAGAGGGAGAAAGAUGCAUAGAUAAAUAGAGAGAAAAGAAAGGAAGAGAGAAUGUUUAAAAGGAGAAAGAUGAGAGGGAGAGGAAAUAGCUGGAUGUCUGAAGGGACUCAUAAAUCCAGAAACAGGAAUGAGGAAGAUGACUAUGUUGGACUCCCUGGGGGUUUGUGUUUGGAGUCUCAGUCGGGGGCUGGAGGAGGUUGUGAAAGACCAGGCGGAAUUAGCGGAGGCAGGUGGAAGAAUAGGAGUCAGAAACAAUAUUUGCUAAAUGUACUGUACGGCAUGAUAAAGCAAUCUGAAUUGGAAUGAAAGUUUGAGGGGCCAGGCUGUUUGAGAGUUGUAGUAGGUGGCUGGGGGGAGGAUGGGGAGGGUUGCAAGAGAUGAGGGGCAAUUGGGGGAGGCAGUUUGGAAUGGCAGUGAGCUGGUGGAGAGGUCAGAUAGAGGUCAGGUAGGUAGAGUACAGUUACAGUACUGUGCUGCUCAAUCACUCAUCUGACAUAACACACUGACAUCCAGUCAGUGCGGCGCCACAGGUCAGUUCUAUCUGAAUCUCAUACCUUAUGAAUCACAGCUUGAGACUAGAUUGGAUACAGAUUCAGAAACACUGGUUUGGUGUAUUGGAUGCAUCAUGAGAAAAUGUACAAGGCUUCGGAGGGGUCAGCACUGUGGGGAACCUCUGGCCUGGUGAAGCUGACAGGAGCUCAAAGACUAAGAAAAUAGACCCCCUACUUUAUCAUCCCAGUAACUCUUCUUUCUCUUAUCUGAGCAGACCGGAAACCUUUCAAUAUACAGUAUACAUUCAAACAAUACUUUAGAACCAUUUAAAUAUAAUAAAUUGGAAGGUUGUGCAGGACCAUGGUAGAUGAAGGAACCAAACUUUUCAGACUGUUAGAGUAUUUAUCUGCUCAGUAAGGCAGGGCAUUAUGUCUGCUGUUUGUAACAGUGUGUUAUAUGUCAAAAUGUGAUUGUAUUAUACAUUGUGGACGAAAAGAGAUCCUAAUCAAAUCUCUCACACUGUCUCCUGGUAUUUUGUGUUGAAACUCCUUUACUUUAUCACCACAGUUAUUGCAGGUUGAUAAAGUAUGUGUCAUGGUGAACUUUACCCAGCUACAGUAUGCACAAUUAACAAACCAUUAAAACACAAAAAUGAUAUUUGA